UACAGAGGUCUCAAGCGUUGUUCGGAUUCAUUGGGCGUAAAGGGUGCGUAGGUGGCGGGGCAAGUUUGGUGUGAAAUCCCGGGGCUCAACCCUGGAACUGCACUGAAUACUGCUUUGCUAGAGUACUGGAGAGGGAACUGGAAUUUACGGUGUAGCAGUGAAAUGCGUAGAUAUCGUAAGGAAGACCAGUGGCGAAGGCGAGUUCCUGGACAGUUACUGACACUGAGGCACGAAGGCCAGGGGAGCAAACGGGAUUAGAAACCCCCGUAG
rnacentral:rRNA from 1 species